AUUGAACGCUGGCGGCAUGGCUAAAACAUGCAAGUCGAACGAGUGGCGGAAGGGUGAGUACACGCAUCAACGUACCCCGGGUGGAGGAUAGGCAUGGGAAACUGUGCGUAAUACUUCAUGGGAGCGGCGAUGUACCUAUCAGGUAGUUGGCGGGGUAACGGCCCACCAAGCCGAAGACGGGUAGCCGGUAUGAGAGUACGGCCGGCCACAUCGAGACUGAGACACUGCUCGGACUCCUACGGGAGGCUGCAGUAACGAAUAUUCCGCAAUGCGCGAAAGCGUGACGGAGCAAUGCCGCGUGCAGGAUGAAGGCCUUCGCUGUGUAAACUGCUGUCAGGGGUGAUGAUCAGCCCCAGAGGAAGGGCCGGCUAAACUCGUGCCAGCAGCCGCGGUAAGACGAGUGGCCCAAGCGUUAGUCGGAAUCACUGGGCUUAAAGGGUGCGUAGGCGGAUGGGUAAGUGCCUUGUGAAAGCCCCCGGCUCAACCGGGGAAGUGCAGGGCAUACUGCUCGUCUGAGGAAGGUAGAGGCCGGUGGAACGAUAGGUGGAGCGGUGGAAUGCGUAGAGAUCUAUCGGAACGCCAAGUGUGAAGACAGCCGGCUGGGCCUUUCCUGGCGCUCAGGCACGAAAGCGUGGGGAGCAAACAGGAUUAGAUACCCUGGUAGUCCACGCCCUAAACGAUGCACACUAGACCGAUUGGUCGUAGAGAAAUUGAUAAGUG
rnacentral:rRNA from 1 species